rnacentral:lncRNA from 1 species
GCGCUCUUUCCUACUUCCGCUUCCCAGCAGACGUGUCUCUUUCAUGAUGUCAGUUCUCCCUUUGUUUCAAGAAGAUGUACUGAAAACUCUAUGUUUGCUCCAACUUCUUAAAUCUCUCACUCAUCCUAAGAAUUGCCUUUUCCUUUUACAGAUAAGUCCCA